CUGAAAGCAUGACGCAGCGACGCCGCGUGGAGGAUGACGGCUUCGAGUUAUAAACUCCUGUCAGAGCUGAAGAAUGCCUGAUUUAUCAGGUUUCGACURGUAACCUCAGARGAAGCCCCGUCUAACUACGUCGCCAGCAGCCGCURGUAAUACAGUAGGGVGCAAACUGUUGCUCAGGAAUUACUGGGCAUAAAGGGUGUAGUAGGUGGCUGAGUAAGUCACGGAUGAAAUCCCGAGGCUCAACCUACGGAAUUAGUCCUUGAAACUGCUCAUGCUUGAGGAUAGCAUGAGGAAAACGGAAUUCCCGGUGGAGCGGUGAAAUGCAGUAGAUAUCGGGAGGAACACCAGAGGCGAAGGCGGUUUUCUAAGCUAUYCCUGACACUGAGACA
rnacentral:rRNA from 1 species